rnacentral:rRNA from 1 species
GCUCAGGAUGAACGCUGGCGACGUGCUUAACACAUGCAAGUCGAACGAUGAAGCCCAGCUUGCUGGGUGGAUUAGUGGCGAACGGGUGAGUAACACGUGAGUAACCUGCCCCUGACUCUGGGAUAAGCCCGGGAAACUGGGUCUAAUACCGGAUAUGACCAUGGGACGCAUGUCUUGUGGUGGAAAGAUUUAUCGGUUGGGGAUGGACUCGCGGCCUAUCAGCUUGUUGGUGAGGUAAUGGCUCACCAAGGCGACGACGGGUAGCCGGCCUGAGAGGGUGACCGGCCACACUGGGACUGAGACACGGCCCAGACUCCUACGGGAGGCAGCAGUGGGGAAUAUUGCACAAUGGGCGCAAGCCUGAUGCAGCGACGCCGCGUGAGGGAUGACGGCCUUCGGGUUGUAAACCUCUUUCAGUAGGGAAGAAGCGAGAGUGACGGUACCUGCAGAAGAAGCGCCGGCUAACUACGUGCCAGCAGCCGCGGUAAUACGUAGGGCGCAAGCGUUAUCCGGAUUUAUUGGGCGUAAAGAGCUCGUAGGCGGUUUGUCGCGUCUGCCGUGAAAGUUCGAGGCUCAACCUGGGAUCUGCGGUGGGUACGGGCAGACUAGAGUGAUGUAGGGGAGACUGGAAUUCCUGGUGUAGCGGUGAAAUGCGCAGAUAUCAGGAGGAACACCGAUGGCGAAGGCAGGUCUCUGGGCAUUUACUGACGCUGAGGAGCGAAAGACAUGGGGAGCGAACAGGAUUAGAUACCCUGGUAGUCCAUGCCGUAAACGUUGGGCACUAGGUGUGGGGGACAUUCCACGUUUUCCGCGCCGUAGCUAACGCAUUAAGUGCCCCGCCUGGGGAGUACGGCCGCAAGGCUAAAACUCAAAGGAAUUGACGGGGGCCCGCACAAGCGGAGGAGCAUGCGGAUUAAUUCGAUGCAACGCGAAGAACCUUACCAAGGCUUGACAUGUUCCACACCGCCUCAUAGAUGGGGUUUCCCUUCAGAGCUGGUUCACAGGUGGUGCAUGGUUGUCGUCAGCUCGUGUCGUGAGAUGUUGGGUUAAGUCCCGCAACGAGCGCAACCCUCGUUCCAUGUUGCCACCGGGUUAUGCCGGGGACUCAUGGGAUACUGCCGAGGUCAACUCGGAAGAAGGGGGGGGAUGACGUCAAAUCAUCAUGCCCCUUAUGUCUUGGGCUUCACGCAUGCUACAAUGGCCGGUACAAUGGGUUGCGAUACUGGGAGGAGGAGCUAAUCCCUAAAAGCCGGUCUCAGUUCGGAUUGGGGUCUGCAACUCUACCCCAUGAAGUCAGAGUCGCUAGUAAUCGCAGAUCAUGCAACGCUGCAGUGAAUACCUUCCCGUGCCUUGUACACACCGUCCGUCAAGUCACGAGAGUUGGUCACACCCGAAUCCGAUGGCUAACCGCUUGUGAUGACGGCAG